ACAGGUAACGAUGAUGUAAUUCUGAUAAAACUGCAUGCCUGGGCAGCCUUGCAGCACCUGGUCCAAUGCUUUCUGACAGAGUGCAGGCGCAGAUGCUACUCCAAAAGCUUCAGUUCAGUAUCUUUGAAAUGCCAUUCAAACUCAUUCUGUGGAAUGAAUGAAACAGCAUGCAUCACACCUCAUAAGACAUUGUUGUACCGAUUCCAAUUAAAAUAUCAUGAAGGAAAUAAAAUCCUUGCCUUGUAUUGCACCCUGCCGCUUCGUGAAAAGGUUUGAGUGCUGUGUGUCGUAGCCGUGG